CUCAAUAAACGUCAUCAAAUUUGGGGUCUCAGCUUCUUCUCAUGGUCUUACAGAUGCUAAUGAAAGCAUUAAGUU